GUCAGCAGCCAUAUCACCCUGCAGCCCAAGACCGGUCGCCCACUGAAGCUAAGCAGGGUUGAGCCUGGUCAGUACCUGGAUGGGAGACCUCUUGGGAAAACUAGGUUGCUGCUGGAA
ensembl:rRNA 5S_rRNA 5S ribosomal RNA